GCCCAUUCCAGUCCUUGGACAAGCCCCUGAAUCUGCAGGUGGGCAGGUAGCUGGCUACAGGUAGGGGUGACCGAGGAGCAGGCCCUACUGAGACCGACCGUGGAGAGCAGCUUGCUAAGGAGCACAGCGUGGACACCUCGUGGCUUCCUGCCCUCUACCCAGCUCCAUGCCAGCCGCAACAGCUGAGCUGAGUAGCCUGAGGGGGCAGCCGGUACAAAGACUCACAGGCCCUUUCUCCUGUGACCACGGAGGCCGCUUCAUCCUUGCUUCGCCUGGCAACCAUCGCACUCAGAAUUGAAAAGCCGAGACUUCUCAAAGGACACAAGAGCACCCCUCACCUUCCCUUCGGCCUCCCGUUCUUCUCCCUGCUCCUUGUUCACGCCACCCCAGCGACACUGGCUCUGUUUCUCGAAUGUGCUGAGCAAAAUGUUCCUACUCCCUUUGUCACUGGGGACCACAAGCUUUUCUCCCCUUUUCAGUCUCCUCUCAAACGGCACGUGGUCAGCAAGGCUUCCUCUGACCAUUCCUUUUAACAUUUAUUUAAUUUUAUGUAUAUGUGUGUGUGCCUGGGUGCACCUAUAUGUACCACACAGGUGCAGUGUCCAAGGUGAAGAGGCAUUGGAUCUCCUGGAACUGGAGUUACAAAUGGUUGUGAGCCACCAAUUGAAAUUCAGGUCCUCUGCAAGAGCAGCCAGUGCUCUUAACCACUGAGCCAUCUCUCUAGCCCUGACCAUCCCUUUUAAAAUGGCCUCUCCUGAUGGCUCAGCCUAUAAGAACACUGGCUGCUCAUCCAGAGGACCUAAGUCCAGCCCUUCAUGGCAGCUCACAACCAUCUGUGACUUAAGUUCCUGGGAAUCCAAAGUCCUCUUCUGGCCUCCUUGGGCACCAGGCAUGUUCAUGGUGCACAAGAUAUGUUCACAGGUAAAACAUCUGUACAUAAAAUAAAAUGCCUCUCUCUAACGAACAACGGCUUUCAGGCCACUGAUAUGUCGUCCUUCCCAUCAAGAGCAGAAGUGUCCUGAGGUCAAGAGCUAUGCUGUUUCUCUUUCUUUCUUUCCUUCUUUCCUUUCUUUCUUUCUUU